rnacentral:rRNA from 1 species
GAGUUUGAUCAUGGCUCAGAUUGAACGCUGGCGGCAGGCUUAACACAUGCAAGUCGAGCGGAGAGAGGUAGCUUGCUACUGAUCUUAGCGGCGGACGGGUGAGUAAUGCUUAGGAAUCUGCCUAUUAGUGGGGGACAACAUUUCGAAAGGAAUGCUAAUACCGCAUACGUCCUACGGGAGAAAGCAGGGGAUCUUCGGACCUUGCGCUAAUAGAUGAGCCUAAGUCGGAUUAGCUAGUUGGUGGGGUAAAGGCCUACCAAGGCGACGAUCUGUAGCGGGUCUGAGAGGAUGAUCCGCCACACUGGGACUGAGACACGGCCCAGACUCCUACGGGAGGCAGCAGUGGGGAAUAUUGGACAAUGGGCGCAAGCCUGAUCCAGCCAUGCCGCGUGUGUGAAGAAGGCCUUAUGGUUGUAAAGCACUUUAAGCGAGGAGGAGGCUACUUUAGAUAAUACCUAGAGAUAGUGGACGUUACUCGCAGAAUAAGCACCGGCUAACUCUGUGCCAGCCGCCGCGGUAAUUC